rnacentral:rRNA from 1 species
GAUGAACGCUGGCGGCGUGCUUAACACAUGCAAGUCGAACGGAAAGGCCCAAGCUUGCUUGGGUACUCGAGUGGCGAACGGGUGAGUAACACGUGGGUGAUCUGCCCUGCACUUCGGGAUAAGCCUGGGAAACUGGGUCUAAUACCGGAUAGGACCACAUUUUGGAUGGUGUUGUGGAAAGCUUUUCGGGGUGGGAUGAGCUCGCGGCCUAUCAGCCUGUUGGUGGGGUCAUGGCCUACCAAGGCGUCGACGGGUAGCCGGCCUGAGAGGGUGUACGGCCACACUGGGUCUGAGAUCCGGCCCAGACUCCUACGGGCGGGAGCAGUGGGGAAUAUUGCACAACGGGCGCAAGCCUGAUGCAGCGCCGCCGCGUGGGGGAGGACGGACUUCGGGUUGUAAACUCCUCUCGCUAGGGACGAAGCGUUAUGUGACGGUACCUGGAGAAGAAGCACCGGCUAACUCCGUG